CCUCAUCUGUUGCUUUGAAGCCCAUUGCCUCAUAAACCAUGUCCUCAUCAGUCAGAACAUAAGCUUCACCAUCUUGUUGAGUGUCUGGUAGUAUUGUCAAUGUACUCCAAUCAACAAAUUAUGGUUGGGCUUGCUCAUGCUGUGCUGGAGAUGUACAACUUUCACUUGCACCUUCAUUUGUUACUCCAGAAAUGCCUACUGACCCUGCACAACUGUUAACAUUCUGGUACCCUUCAUUCCAUCUGUCCACAACUUCUACACUAACAUUUGCUACUCCAACAUUCCAUCUGUGCUUAAUCAUUGACUUAAAAUGCUCAUUUUUCCUAACCUUCCAAUCAGCUUCACUGUCAACAUCCACAGACCACACUGAAAUUGUCUGACUAGAUCCCUAGUAUAUCUUGCUAGCCAUUUCAACAACAAAACUAUCCAGAUUAUAGCCACUGCAUCUAUCAAACCACAGCACAUGUUCUUGUUCAUCAAUUUGUACAAUACCAGACUCCGCAAAUGCCUUAUACUUUUCAACCUUAACCACUAUUCUAAAUGCAUUACCAGGAUCAAUCCUGGUAUAAUAAUGAAAAUAAGAAAAUACGAAGUUAGAAACAUCCAACUCCUCCGAG
rnacentral:lncRNA from 1 species